ACGCUUGCGGCCAGCGCGGCGUCAGGCGUUCGUCCAGAGACACGAACCCGUAGCACGAGCCGCUCGUGUUUUCGGCUUUCCGGGACGCUGCACGGGCCUGCGCGUCUCCAUCUAGGCGUCGGCUGGGGGUUCGAACCGACGAACCCUUGGCUUGAUAACAGUGCCACGCCAUCCGUCGCUGGCAACGCAUAAAUUGCAUGUGCCAGGCGUCAAGCGUUCAUCAGCUAGCUACCUCGUUGAUUCGAUUGUUUUUCACAUGUUUCUUCGUUGGAGGACGACCGUUUCUUUGUCGAGUUCGAGCUUAGAAUCGAACGGGAAAUAGGAACGGGGUAGUGGGAACCAAGUUAAAAAAAGAAAGAAAAAAAAGGAGAGAGAAGAGGAAAGAAAAAAGAAAAACAUGAAUAUGAAUGAUUAUAUACCCGGUGUGUGCCGGUUGAAGUUAUUAAUAUUCCAUUCAAAACCGUGGUUUCUAUUCAGGACACUCUCUGGAAAUUCAAAUGAAUCGAGUGAAUUCUGAUCCGCGGCCAGAUUGCAGUUGGAAAGUGGACGACCAUUACCGUCCAUUCUAUAAAUUUGGAUCGUCCUUUAUGGUGGCUCGUUAAAACUAACGUAGUUACCGGCCGAUCUCUGGGAUUAAAUCGGUCAAACAAGCUGGCCAGAUGACUCGGAAAACGGCUCGGAAAACAAACGGAAGUGCUGAGCAACCUGCUAGCGACGAUAACAGGGCAACUUCGAAUUGAUAUUUGCGAUACGAUGUAAAAUUGUAUGUUCCGUCCAGGAAGAUCAGACAAAUACUUUAUUUUCGUUGCAGCGUACAAGUAUCUGUUAAAUCGUGGAUACAGCGUUACUAAGUAGUAAAAUAAUAUACACGUUACGAAUAAAAACAUAGUGGAAUCUUUACAGCGCUUCUAACGAUUACUAAAACUAAUAAUAAUUACAAUUAUUAACGUGUGUCUACAACAUAAAUUUUCCACCGUUAUACGCAUACACAUAUCAACAUUUCCAGUUACGAUCCAGUAUAAGCAAUAUUUUUUUUACCUUCUACUUACGAUCAAUUUUUCUCAAGUACUCUCAACGAUAAUCAUAAAGGAUAUCAGAAUAACAUCAGAAUG